GACGAACGCUGGCGGCGUGCUUAACACAUGCAAGUCGAACGGAAAGGCCCUGCUUUUGUGGGGUGCUCGAGUGGCGAACGGGUGAGUAACACGUGAGUAACCUGCCCUUGACUUUGGGAUAACUUCAGGAAACUGGGGCUAAUACCGGAUAGGAGCUCCUGCUGCAUGGUGGGGGUUGGAAAGUUUCGGCGGUUGGGGAUGGACUCGCGGCUUAUCAGCUUGUUGGUGGGGUAGUGGCUUACCAAGGCUUUGACGGGUAGCCGGCCUGAGAGGGUGACCGGCGAGGUUGGGACUGAGGUACGGGCCAGACUCCGACGGGAGGCAGCGGUGGGGGAUAGUGCGGAAUGGGCGGAAGCGUGAGGCAGCGACGCCGCGUGGGGGAUGGCGGCCGUCGGGUUGUAGGCGGCUUGCGCGUGGGGGGGAGCGGGGGUGGCGGUGGUGGGUAGAGAAGCAGCGGGUAAGGAGGUG
rnacentral:rRNA from 1 species